UACAGAGGUCUCGAGCGUUAAUCGGAGUCACUGGGCUUAAAGGGUGCGUAGGCGGCGCUGCAAGUGCCUUGUGAAAUCCCACGGCUCAACCGUGGAAUUGCUCGGUAGACUGCAGCGCUUGAGGUUGGUAGGGGUCGCCGGAACUCUAGGUGGAGCGGUGAAAUGCGUAGAUAUCUAGAGGAACGCCGAAGGUGAAGACAGGCGACUGGGCCAAUUCUGACGCUGAGGCACGAAAGCGUGGGGAG
rnacentral:rRNA from 1 species